UACGUAGGGCGCAAGCGUUAUCCGGAAUUAUUGGGCGUAAAGAGCUCGUAGGCGGUUUGUCGCGUCUGCCGUGAAAGUCCGGGGCUCAACCUCGGGCCUGCAGUGGGUACGGGCAGACUGGAGUGCGGUAGGGGAGAAUGGAAUUCCUGGUGUAGCGGUGGAAUGCGCAGAUAUCGGGAGGAACACCUAUGGCGAAGGCGGCUCUCUGGACCGAGACUGACGCUGAGGCGCGAAAGCGUGGGGAGCAAACAGG
rnacentral:rRNA from 1 species